AGAGUUUGAUCAUGGCUCAGGAUGAACGCUAGCGGCAGGCCUAACACAUGCAAGUCGAGGGGCAGCGGGUUCUAGCAAUAGAAUGCCGGCGACCGGCGCACGGGUGCGUAACGCGUAUACAAUUUGCCUUAUACUGGGAGAUAGCCCGGAGAAAUUCGGAUUAAUAUCCCAUAAUAUUGUUGGACAGCAUUGUUUGAUAAUUAAAGCUACGGCGGUAUGAGAUGAGUAUGCGUCUGAUUAGCUAGUUGGUGAGGUAAUGGCUCACCAAGGCAACGAUCAGUAGGGGGCCUGAGAGGGUUAUCCCCCACACUGGUACUGAGACACGGACCAGACUCCUACGGGAGGCAGCAGUGAGGAAUAUUGGUCAAUGGAGGCAACUCUGAACCAGCCAUGCCGCGUGUAGGACGAAGGCCCUAUGGGUUGUAAACUACUUUUAUUGGGGAAGAAACCUUUCUACGUGUAGAGAGCUGACGGUACCCAAGGAAUAAGGACCGGCUAACUCCGUGCCAGCAGCCGCGGUAAUACGGAGGGUCCAAGCGUUAUCCGGAAUCAUUGGGUUUAAAGGGUGCGCAGGCGGUAAAGUAAGUCAGUGGUGAAAUCUCUCGGCUCAACCGAGAAACUGCCAUUGAUACUGCUAUACUUGAAUAUAGUCGAAGUGGGCGGAAUGUGACAUGUAGCGGUGAAAUGCUUAGAUAUGUCACAGAACACCGAUAGCGAAGGCAGCUCACUAGACUAACAUUGACGCUCAUGCACGAAAGCGUGGGGAGCGAACAGGAUUAGAUACCCUAGUAGUCC
rnacentral:rRNA from 1 species